rnacentral:rRNA from 1 species
GACGAACGCUGGCGGCGUGCCUAAUACAUGCAAGUCGAGCGGACUGAAUUGGAGCUUGCUCCAAUGACGUUAGCGGCGGACGGGUGAGUAAUGCUUAGGAAUCUGCCAUUUAGUGGGGGACAACAUUCCGAAAGGAAUGCUAAUACCGCAUACGUCCUACGGGAGAAAGCAGGGGAUCUUCGGACCUUGCGCUAAAUGAUGAGCCUAAGUCGGAUUAGCUAGUUGGUGGGGUAAAGGCCUACCAAGGCGACGAUCUGUAGCGGGUCUGAGAGGAUGAUCCGCCACACUGGGACUGAGACACGGCCCAGACUCCUACGGGAGGCAGCAGUGGGGAAUAUUGGACAAUGGGCGGAAGCCCGAUCCAGCCAUGCCGCGUGUGUGAAGAAGGCCUUUUGGUUGUAAAGCACUUUAAGUGAGGAGGAGGCUACUUAGAUUAAUACUCUAGGAUAGUGGACGUUACUCGCAGAAUAAGCACCGGCUAACUCUGUGCCAGCCGCCGCCGUAAUAC